rnacentral:ncRNA from 1 species
AAAAGACUUAGUCCUAACCUUACCGUUAAUUUCUGCUAAACAUAUACAUGCAAGUAUCUGCGCCCCAGUGUAAAUGCCCCAGAGCUCUUAUUGACUAGACAAAGGGAGCGGGCAUCAGGCUCGCCCAUUGCUGCAGCCCAAGACGCCUUGCUUAGCCACACCCCCACGGGUAUUCAGCAGUAAUUAAUAUUAAGCAAUAAGUGAAAACUUGACUUAGUUAUAGCAGCACUUAGGGUUGGUAAAUCUUGUGCCAGCCACCGCGGUCACACAAGAGACCCAAAUUAACUGUUACACGGCGUAAAGAGUGGUACCAUGCUAUCCCAACAACUAAGAUUAAAACACAGCUAAGCUGUCAUAAGCCCUAGAUGUGUCUAAAAACACCCCAAAGAUGAUCUUAGCAGCCUCGACUGAUUAAACUCCACGAAAGCUAGGGCACAAACUGGGAUUAGAUACCCCACUAUGCCUAGCCCUAAAUCUUGAUAUCUUACAUCACCAAAGUAUCCGCCUGAGAACUACGAGCACAAACGCUUAAAACUCUAAGGACUUGGCGGUGCCCCAGACCCACCUAGAGGAGCCUGUUCUAUAAUCGAUAACCCACGAUGCACCCGACCACCCCUUGCCAAAGCAGCCUAUAUACCGCCGUCGCCAGCCCACCUCCCCUGAAAGAACAACAGUGAGCAUAAUAGCCCCAACCCCGCUAGCAAGACAGGUCGAGGUAUAGCCCAUGGGGUGGAAGAAAUGGGCUACACUUUCUAAGAUAGAUAACUUCACGGAAGGGGGCAUGAAAUUGCCCCCGGAAGGCGGAUUUAGCAGUAAAGUGAGAUAAUAAAGCCCACUUUAAGCUGGCCCUGAGGCACGUACAUACCGCCCGUCACCCUCCUCACAGGCCACCCACAACAUAUAACUAAUGCCCCCCCCCCCCGCCGAAGAUGAGGUAAGUCGUAACAAGGUAAGUGUACCGGAAGGUGCACUUAGCACAUC